rnacentral:rRNA from 1 species
CCUACGGGUGGCAGCAGUGAGGAAUAUUGGUCAAUGGACGAGAGUCUGAACCAGCCAAGUAGCGUGAAGGAUGACUGUCCUAUGGGUUGUAAACUUCUUUUAUAUGGGAAUAAAAUGGUCCACGUGAGGGAUUUUGUAUGUACCCUAUGAAUAAGGAUCGGCUCACUCCGUGCCAGCACCCCCGGGAAUACGGAGGAUCCGUGCGUUUACCGGGAUUAUUGGGGUUAAAGGGAGCGUAGGUGGAUUUGUAAGGCAGGUGUUAAAGUUUGCGGCUCAACCGUAAAAUUGCAGUUGAAACUGGCAGUCUUGAGUGCAGGAGAGGUAGGCGGAAUGCGUGGUGUAGCGGUGAAAUGCUUAGAUAUCACGAAGAACUCCGAUUGCGAAGGCAGCUCACUGGACUGCAACUGACACUGAGGCUCGAAAGUGUGGGUAUCAAACAGGAUUAGAUACCCGGGUAGUC